GCUUCUCAAUCCCACCUCGAGAAAAGCGGCGAUUAAAAAAUACGAUUGUUCACAGCGAAAAAGAAAAAAAAAAUUCCCUCAUGCUUCAGCCCGCCGCCGCCACCGCGCCUCUCGUGCGGGCCCACCGCCGCCACUCCGCUCGCGCGGCUGCGCUCACGACUCCCCUACCCCGCCGCCACCUCGGAUCGCCUGUGGCCGCCGCCUCCCGCCAGAGCCGUCGUCGUCGUUGCCGAGGGAAGCGGGCCGCAUCGCCGCCGCCGCUCUAGGCCGCCGCCUCCUACACGCCCGCCGCUUCCCACCGCCUCCGCCGACGCCUUGACCAAAAUUGUCCCUCACAUCUCCCGUUCUCUUAGGGCUGGCAAUCUCUGCUCCGCCGCCAUUGCAUCGGAGGAAGGAGACCGCCGCUGGUCCGGCCCGCGUGGAGGCACUUUUCUGCUUUGCCGCCUUGGCGUUGUUUCCGGGCAGGAGACCCCACAGCUCAGGCACUCCGGCUCCGGCGAUUCGGCCCCAUCCCCUGCAGGGCAAACAAAGCGGCGGCGUUGCUUCGAGAAGGACAGGCACCGUGGUGUCCGAGCGGCAUGGAGGCCAAGUUGUGAGACACCCACGGACUGCUUCAUCAGUUCACAUGCCUGAGCAAGGUCCUGGAUGGCGAGAUCCACCAGCUAAUCACCAAAGGCAGCUUUUGCAUCAUGCAGCUGCUGCAGGCCACGAUGGGAUUGGAGAACUCCUAAUCUUGUUCACACAGAGUUCAAGCAGCACCUAGAAUUGACAUGGGCAGGCAAUUCAUUGGUGAUGGAGAAGAACUGCAUGCGGCGCUGCCUACACUGACUCACCUUAAUGAAAAUGACAAUUCGAUUUAUUAUAUGGUGGUUGCAGAAUUAUCACCUCACUUACAUGGUCAGGUUGUGACAAAAUAUCUUAAAUGCAUAUGGUCAAUAUAACACUAUUGCCUACCAUUUAUCCCUUGUUCUGCAUUUUCAUUGUAGAUGGACCAUUUCUGUCCAAUUAACUACAGGCACUCAACUUUUGUACUAUGAUCUCUGAACAAAGAAAUUUUUUGAAGGGGGACCAUGUUUCUGAAAUUGACCAUCUGGAAAAAAGUUCUGACAUUGCUUUCUAGGAUCAAUAGUCAAUUGCUACUAAAUUGCAGGGCCUGACGUUGAUAUAUACAACUGAAGAGAAAUAUGGUUAUUGCUGAUAUAUACAAUUUAUUUUUUAAACUCUCUCGCUGAUUUGGUUUCAUUUCAUUAAGGUAGAUAAAUUUAUUCCAAAGCAAAAUUCUACCUUCCCCAUCACUGCCACUCUCCAUCAUGAUUGACCUGCUCUCCGCUCUCUCCAAGAAUUAUCACCCCACUUAUCUGGUUAGGCGGAUCUACCACCGGCGGGCGAUGGCAAUGGUAGGAGCAGCGGCUACGGUGAGCUUGGGCAGCGCUGAUCCCGUCGCCUCUCCUCCCUCUCUCCGUUGCCCGGAGGGCAUGGGCUGGCCGAUCCAGGCGGCCGCGAGCUCGGGUAACCAGCGGGUGCGGGAUCCAGCAUGCGGACGACAUAAAUACCCACAUGAGGAAAACUGAUUUUCACAUGUCGGUGUGUCACCUGGAUGGAAAAUUCCUAUUUUCGCAGAUGUUUGGUCCAACUGCAUGUGAAAAUAUAUUUUGACCGCAUGCACAAAUGCUUUUGUAGUUAUGAAAACUUAUGGUAGAAUUACACUCUUGUGACGAAGGGAGUCUCUCCCUCCGUUCCUCUAUAAGUACAAUUAUAAAUCUAAUUUACUUUUCUAAAAUAAAUAUAAUAUCCUCCUACCUCA